rnacentral:rRNA from 1 species
AAUGAACGCUGGCGGCAGGCCUAACACAUGCAAGUCGAGCGCGCACACCGGGGUAAGCGGCGGAUGGGGGUGUCAAGUGUCGGAAGGUGCACUUUUAUAUGGAAUAGCACUGGGACAUUGAGAGUAACGGAGUAAAAGCUCUUCGAGGGCAAGAUAUAUCGGACAAGGUAAGGCACAGGUUGGAUUAGAUAGUUGGUGGGGUAAUGGCCUACUAAGCAGAAGAUCCAUAGCUGGUUAAAGUGGGUGAUCAGCCACCUUGGGACUGAGACACGGCCCAGACUCCUACGGGAGGACGCAGUCGGGAAUCUUACGCAAUGGGGGAAAGGCUGAUCUAGGAAAACCGCGUGAGUGAUGAAGGACCUCGGCUUGUAAAGCUAUGUUGUUCGGAAAGAAAAAAAGCACUUUUAGCUAGGAAGGUAAUGACGGUACCAACAGAAAAAGCCCCGGCUAACUCCGUG